AUUGAACGCUGGCGGCAGGCCUAACACAUGCAAGUCGAACGAGUGGCGGACGGGUGAGUAAUGUCUGGGAAACUGCCUGAUGGAGGGGGAUAACUACUGGAAACGGUAGCUAAUACCGCCAACAGUCGGAUGUGCCCAGGUGGGAUUAGCUAGUAGGUGGGGUAAAGGCUCACCUAGGCGACGAUCCCUAGCUGGGCUGAGAGGGUGACCAGCCACACUGGAACUGAGACACGGUCCAGACUCCUACGGGAGGCAGCAGUGGGGAAUAUUGCACAAUGGGCGCAAGCCUGAUGGAGCCAUGCCGCGUGUAUGAAGAAGGUCUUCGGGUUGUAAAGCUCUUUCGGCGAGGAGGCGUUACUCGCAGAAGAAGCACCGGCUAACUCCGUGCCAGCAGCCGCGGUAAUAC
rnacentral:rRNA from 1 species